rnacentral:rRNA from 1 species
CUGGCCGUAAACGAUGAAUGCUAGGUGUGGGUGUCGAGAGGCAUCCGUGCCGGAGUUAACGCGAUAAGCAUUCCGCCUGGGGAGUACGGUCGCAAGAUUGAAACUCAAAGGAAUUGACGG